CUUAGCCCUAAACAUAGACAAUACUAACACAAUAUUGUCCGCCAGAGAACUACAAGUGAAAAACUGGAAACUCUAAGGACUUGGCGGUACCCCACAUCAGCCUAGAGGAGCCUGUCCUAUAAUCGAUAAUCCACGCUGUACCUUACCAUUUCUAGAAACUCAGCCUAUAUACCGCCGUCGAAAGCUUACCCUAUGAAAGAAACAAAGUAAGCAAAAUAGUUAAUAACUAAAACGUCAGGUCAAGGUGUAGCACAUGAAAUGGAAGAGAUGGGCUACAUUUUCUACUUCAGAAAACACGAAUAGCACAAUGAAAUCUGUGCUCAAAGGCGGAUUUAGUAGUAAGGUAAAAAAGACAUCUUACCUUAAACCCGCUCUGGGGCGCGCACACACCGCC
rnacentral:rRNA from 1 species